rnacentral:tRNA from 1 species
GCUUUCGUGGUGUAGUGGUCAGCCCGCUCGACGCGUAUUCGAGAGGUCCGCGGUUCGAGUCCCGGCGAGGGCA